rnacentral:misc_RNA from 1 species
GAUGAAGAACGCAGCGAAAUGCGAUACGUAAUGUGAAUUGCAGAAUUCAGUGAAUCAUCGGAUCUUUGAACGCAUAUUGCGCUCUCUGGUAUUCCGGAGAGCAUGCUUGUUUGAGUAUCAGUAAACACCUCAACUCCCUUUUCUUUUUUGAAAUUGGAGCUGGACUUGAGUGAUCCCAACGCUUUCUUCCAAGAAAGUGGCGGGUUGCUUGAAAUGCAGGUGCAGCUGAACUUUUCUCUGAGCUAUAAGCAUAUCUAUUUAGUCUGCCUAAAAAACAGAUUAUUACCUUUGCUGCAGCUAACAUAAAGGAGACUAGUUCUUGUGCUGACUGAUGCAGGAUUCACAGAGACAGCUUCGGCUGACUUUGUAAACUCGAUCUCAAAUCAAGUAAGACUACCCGCUGAACUUAAGCAUAUCAAUAAGCGGAGGA